rnacentral:rRNA from 1 species
GACGAACGCUGGCGGCGUGCCUAAUACAUGCAAGUCGAACGAACCGCGACUAGGUGCUUGCACUUGGUCAAGGUGAGUGGCGAACGGGUGAGUAACACGUGGGUAACCUACCUCAUAGUGGGGGAUAACAGUCGGAAACGACUGCUAAUACCGCAUAGGACAUAGGAUCACAUGAUUCUGUGAGGAAAGGUGGCGCAAGCUAUCGCUAAGAGAUGGACCCGCGGUGCAUUAGCUAGUUGGUAGGGUAAAGGCCUACCAAGGCGAUGAUGCAUAGCCGACCUGAGAGGGUGAUCGGCCACAUUGGGACUGAGCCACGGCCCAAACUCCUACGGGAGGCAGCAGUAGGGAAUCUUCCGCAAUGGACGCAAGUCUGACGGAGCAACGCCGCGUGAGUGAAGAAGGUCUUCGGAUCGUAAAGCUCUGUUGUUAGAGAAGAACAGCGCAUAGAGUAACUGUUAUGCGUGUGACGGUAUCUAACCAGAAAGCCACGGCUAACUACGUG